rnacentral:rRNA from 1 species
UACGUAGGUGGCAAGCGUUGUCCGGAGUUAUUGGGCUUAAAGGGUGCGUAGGCGGUUCCAUAAGUCAGUGGUGAAAUCCAAUAGCUUAACUAUUGAGGUGCCAUUGAUACUGCGGAACUUGAGUACAGACGAGGUAGGCGGAAUUGACGGUGUAGCGGUGAAAUGCUUAGAUAUCGUCAAGAACACCGAUAGCGAAGGCAGCUUACUAGACUGUAACUGACGCUGAGGCACGAAAGUGUGGGGAUCAAACAGG